AACGAACGCUGGCGGCAUGCCUAACACAUGCAAGUCGAACGAGACCUUCGGGUCUAGUGGCGAACGGGUGCGUAACGCGUGGGAACCUGCCCUUAGGUUCGGAAUAACUGCCCGAAAGGGGUGCUAAUACCGGAUAAUGUCUCAGGCCCAAAGGUUUAUCGACCUUGGAUGGGCCCGCGUUGGAUAAGCUAGUUGGUAUGGUAAAAGCGUACCAAGGCGACGAUCCAUAGCUGGUCUGAGAGGAUGAUCAGCCACACUGGGACUGAGACACGGCGCAGACUCCUACGGGAUGCAGCAGUGGGUAAUAUUGGACUGUGGGCGAAAGCCUGAUCCAGCAAGGCCGCGUGAGUGAUGAAGUCCUUAGGGUUGUAAAGCUCUUUUACCCGGGAUGAUAAUGACAGUACCGGGAGAAUAAGCUCCGGCUAACUCCGUG
rnacentral:rRNA from 1 species